GAAGCGGUGCGGCGCACCUGUCCUGAUUGGCUGCGGCGGGAGCGUGGUUAAGCAGUCUGACUUUGGUCUGCUUUCUUUGUGGUCCCAUUGCUCCUGACAGAACUUGUGUAAGUCUGGUUUGCACCUCCACAGGCGCUGUCGGACUUCAAGUGCAACGUGGCGACAGAACGAGUUUCUUCCUCAGAGUGAAUUUCACUUCAGGAACCUGUUUUUUCAGGCCAACACAGACGGAGCCCUCCUGCUGGCCCACCAUGUGGUUUACUCGAUGCAGGAUGGAAGUAAAGUCUUCACCACUGAAAUUAGGGGAAAUAAAAAAACGAUGUCACCGUAACUGGAUAUGGACUAGAACAGAAAGAGAUCCUACAUCAAACACAUAGAGGUCAAUGGUUAUACUGUUAGUAGUACAAAACGGAAAACAUUUGUCUAGUAGACAUAAUGAGUUACCUAGGGCAGUGCAGCUUCAGCUGCUUACACACCGACUGGAUAAACCAGCUUCCAUCUAUUGGGUGUCUAAAAGAUACGUAGUCUUCAACAGUGGAAAUGGCGACGAGAAAAUCGGAUUCCUCAGGAAUGGACGGUGCACUAUCCUCCUCCACAUCUUUCAGCAACACCCCUUGUUGUACAUUCUUCUCGUGUUGGCAGGCCUGAAUCAGGAACACUUUGGGUUUCCCAGUGAGGGCUGGCAGCUUAGUGGCCACAAAAUGUCUUUUAAUUUCUUUAAUGGCAAGAGGCUGUGAGUCGACCCCAUAAACUUUUCCUAAUGACCCGUGGCUCAGAAUGCAGCAGACGAAGGCGUCGCCGUGCCCAACCGGCUGCUGGGGAGCAGAGAGGCAGCCGACACGCCAUUCCUGAACACCCAACUCCAGUAGCUGGAGUUGCUUCUCCUCAUCACGAAGAGAGGCAACUACCUCCAGUGUCCGUUCCAUCUGGUCCCUGGUUUGGUCUUUACACAUCAGCACCUUGAAGCCCAGCCAGCUGAACACCUCUGCUAGACUCUCUGCAGGGUUUUUUUUAAACAGAGGAAAUAAAAUUGACCAGACAUGACAAAAGUUACAUUUUUAAAAACAAACUGAAAAGAACGUACCGGCAUCUUUGUCUGUCCCCCUUCUCUGUUUGAGGCUGUAGAAAUUCUCAUUGUUUAUGAUCAGGCAGAGACCAACAGGCUCGCUUUUGAGUUCAUAAACCUCAUCCUAAAACAAGAGACAAUGUGACACAUUCAAAUGUAUAAUUUAUAGCAAAAAAAAAAGAAGUUCUAAUCAAAA